AAGAUACUCCCUCCGUCCAAAAAAACUUAUCAUCAAAAUGACAAAAAGGAUGUAUCUAAAAUUAAAAUACAUCUAGAUACGUUCUCUUUUAUUCAUUUUUAUGACAAGUAUUUUCCGGCGGAGGGAGUACACU
rfam:Triticum aestivum genome assembly, contig: Triticum_aestivum_CS42_TGACv1_scaffold_342734_4DL